rnacentral:rRNA from 1 species
UAGGGAAUCUUCGGCAAUGGACGGAAGUCUGACCGAGCAACGCCGCGUGAGUGAAGAAGGUUUUCGGAUCGUAAAGCUCUGUUGUAAGAGAAGAACGAGUGUGAGAGUGGAAAGUUCACACUGUGACGGUAUCUUACCAAAAAGGGACGGCUAACUACGUGCCAGCAGCCGCGGUAAUACGUAGGUCCCGAGCGUUGUCCGGAUUUAUUGGGCGUAAAGCGAGCGCAGGCGGUUAGAUAAGUCUGAAGUUAAAGGCUGUGGCUUAACCAUAGUAGGCUUUGGAAACUGUUUAACUUGAGUGCAAGAGGGGAGAGUGGAAUUCCAUGUGUAGCGGUGAAAUGCGUAGAUAUAUGGAGGAACACCGGUGGCGAAAGCGGCUCUCUGGCUUGUAACUGACGCUGAGGCUCGAAAGCGUGGGGAGCAAACAGGAUUAGAUACCCUGGUAGUCCACGCUGUAAACGAUGAGUGCUAGGUGUUAGACCCUUUCCGGGGUUUAGUGCCGUAGCUAACGCAUUAAGCACUCCGCCUGGGGAGUACGACCGCAAGGUUG